ACACAUGCAAGUCGAACGAUGAACCUGGAGCUUGCUCUAGGGGAUUAGUGGCGAACGGGUGAGUAACACGUGAGUAACCUGCCCUUGACUCUGGGAUAACCUCCGGAAACGGAAGCUAAUACCGGAUACGACGUACGGAGGCAUCUCCUGUACGUGGAAAGAACUUCGGUCAAGGAUGGACUCGCGGCCUAUCAGGUAGUUGGUGAGGUAACGGCCCACCAAGCCUACGACGGGUAGCCGGCCUGAGAGGGUGACCGGCCACACUGGGACUGAGACACGGCCCAGACUCCUACGGGAGGCAGCAGUGGGGAAUAUUGCACAAUGGGCGAAAGCCUGAUGCAGCAACGCCGCGUGAGGGAUGACGGCCUUCGGGUUGUAAACCUCUUUUAGUAGGGAAGAAGCGAAAGUGACGGUACCUGCAGAAAAAGCACCGGCUAACUACGUGCCAGCAGCCGCGGUAAUACGUAGGGUGCGAGCGUUGUCCGGAAUUAUUGGGCGUAAAGAGCUCGUAGGCGGUCUGUCGCGUCUGCUGUGAAAACCCGAGGCUCAACCUCGGGCUUGCAGUGGGUACGGGCAGACUAGAGUGCGGUAGGGGAGAAUGGAAUUCCUGGUGUAGCGGUGGAAUGCGCAGAUAUCAGGAGGAACACCGAUGGCGAAGGCAGUUCUCUGGGCCGUAACUGACGCUGAGGAGCGAAAGCGUGGGGAGCGAACAGGAUUAGAUACCCUGGUAGUCCACGCCGUAAACGUUGGGCGCU
rnacentral:rRNA from 1 species